rnacentral:rRNA from 2 species
UGGGGAAUCUUGCGCAAUGGGCGAAAGCCUGACGCAGCCAUGCCGCGUGAAUGAUGAAGGUCUUAGGAUUGUAAAAUUCUUUCACCGGGGACGAUAAUGACGGUACCCGGAGAAGAAGCCCCGGCUAACUUCGUGCCAGCAGCCGCGGUAAUACGAAGGGGGCUAGCGUUGCUCGGAAUUACUGGGCGUAAAGGGAGCGUAGGCGGACUGUUUAGUCAGAGGUGAAAGCCCAGGGCUCAACCUUGGAAUUGCCUUUGAUACUGGCAGUCUUGAGUACGGAAGAGGUAUGUGGAACUCCGAGUGUAGAGGUGAAAUUCGUAGAUAUUCGGAAGAACACCAGUGGCGAAGGCGACAUACUGGUCCGUUACUGACGCUGAGGCUCGAAAGCGUGGGGAGCAAACA